UUUUUUUACCCCUUUUGGUUGUUUGGUUUCUGGUAAAAAUGCGGCAAAAGAAAUGAAAUGAAAAGUUUGAAUCUCUCUUUUUUCGCUUAGAGAAACGAAUUGUCACAAAUGAUUGAGCGAAGGCUCCGCUUAGCUCUGUUAAUUACUACAGUUUGACUUGCUUGGUGAUUUUCUUUUUUCCUUUUUCUCUUUUUGGAAAAAUCACUAACCCUUUUUUUAUUGCUCUCUCUACUCUAAACAAUCAAACAGAGACUGUGAGAGUUUUUGUUUUCGGCGGAAAUUUUCUGUUACUGCACUUAUUAGCUGCGUGUUGAUGUGUUAAUGUUUUGGCGCCUUGAAAUUAUAAACCAAGAAAAUGCAGGAAGGAAAAAAAAAAAUUUUUUUUAUUCGUGUUUAAUUGGAAUAUAUGUAGAUCUGUUUUGUAACUCUGUUAAGUUGACAUCAUAAUUCGUUUUUGCAUCUUGAAGUGGUGAAAUGUGGUUUGAUUUGAUCCAUUCCUGACUAUGAGGUGGCUGAAUAUGAACUAACUUAAAAAGUAGAAUUGAAAUUCCAGCUGAGGAUGAACAAGAUAGGAGAUUCUUCUAACUUUUUGAUAUAUUUGGUCUGUUAGACUUAUUAUCAUUGGCUAAAUGAACCUGAAAAUGUGGUCAUGCAUAAUUAGUUGGAAAACAGACAAUAUCAGGUUUCCUUAUGAGUUUUCACGUAGCUUUUGUUAUGCUUCGGUUAUACCUUUCGUUUUAAUUGGUCUACUGGCAGGAUUGCCUACUAGAGUGGGGCAAUGGUGGGAAAGCAUUCCGUUUCUAACUUCUGCAGUGGUGAUUGUUUGUGGGACUAUCUACUUGGUCUGCCUUUUCAUCGGAUAUGACUCCUUUUAUGAAAUAUGCUUCUUGCCAUCUGCUGUUAUCUCACGAUUUCAAGUUUACAGGAUUUAUACAUCCAUUAUUUUUCAUGGUUCAUUGCUUCAUGUGCUGUUCAACAUGCUGGCUUUGGUGCCUUUUGGGUUCUGAACUCGAGAGAAUCAAAACAACUUUUAGCGGUGAAAUAAAUUCUCCACUAAUAAUCAAAAUUUUCCCACUAAAAAUUAUAUUAAUGGGAAAAAAAUCACUAGCAAUAUCUGCUCCGCAAAAAAAAAAAUUUAAAAUUUGUACCAAAUUUUUCAUACCAAUUUGCAUUUAAUCUUGAUAUUAUAAAUUACAAUGAAUUUGUACCAAUUUGCAUUUAAUCUUGAUAUCAUAAAUUGCGAUAAAUUCUCUA